rnacentral:rRNA from 1 species
AGUGAACGCUGGCGGCGUGCCUAAUACAUGCAAGUCGAACGGGCGGGCGCACGGGUGAGUAAUAUAUAGCUAAUCAGCACCUGGGUGGAGGUCAACAGAUAGAAAUGAAUGCUAAUACACCAUAGGGAGGGAUGAGACUCUAUCGUAUCAGCUAGUCGGUGGGGUAACGGCCUACCGAGGCUAUGACGCGUAACUGGUCUGAGAGGAUGAUCAGUCACAUUGGAACUGAGGCACGGUCCAGACUCCUACGGGAAGGAGCAGUAGCGAAUAUUGCGCAACGGGCGAAACCCUGACGGAGCUUCGCCGCGUAGAGGAUGACACUUUGCGGAGCGUAGACUCCGUUUGUUAGGGAAGCGGUACCUAACGAAUAAGCACCGGCUAACUCCGUGCCAGCAGCCGCGGUAAUAC